AACUGGAAAAUGCCUCAUCCAGCGAUUGACUCGAGUUAUUUUUUCCACAAUAUCUUUGACAGUCUAGAGUUCUUUUUUCCAAUAAAUACCAGUGAUCAAGGCCAAAGCUCUGUUGCCUGUUGAGAAGGUGAUGUUUGACUUCCUUGUACUGCUGCAGUUGGUAUGGUGAAGGUGCUCCCACAACGUGGUUGGAUCCUGCAAGUUUCCCCAAUGAGCAUAGUCCAUCCAAAUGAUGUUGCUACCUUUGGCCAACUCAUUUCUUUCCGAGCCUCUGUAACCUGAAGAGUGACCAGAA